UCCUACGGGAGGCAGCAGUGGGGAAUAUUGCAACAAUGGGCGCAAGCCUGAUGCAGCCAUGCCGCGUGUAUGAAGAAGGACCUUCGGGUUGUAAAGUACUUUCAGCAGUGAGGAAGGUGGUAGUGUUAAUAGCACUAUCAUUUGACGUUAGCUGCAGAAGAAGCACCGGCUAACUCCGUGCCAGCAGCCGCGGUAAUACGGAGGGUGCGAGCGUUAAUCGGAAUUACUGGGCGUAAAGCGCAUGCAGGUGGUUUGUUAAGUCAGAUGUGAAAGCCCGGGGCUCAACCUCGGAAUUGCAUUUGAAACUGGCAGACUAGAGUACUGUAGAGGGGGUAGAAUUUCAGGUGUAGCGGUGAAAAUGCGUAGAGAUCUGAAGGAAUACCGGUGGCGAAGGCGGCCCCCUGGACAGAUACUGACACUCAGAUGCGAAAGCGUGGGGAGCAAACAGGAUUAGAUACCCUGGUAG
rnacentral:rRNA from 1 species